rnacentral:rRNA from 1 species
CCUACGGGGGGCAGCAGUGGGGAAUAUUGGACAAUGGGGGCAACCCUGAUCCAGCCAUGCCGCGUGUGUGAAGAAGGCCCUCGGGGUGUAAAGCACUUUCAGUGAGGAAGAACGCCUGGUGGUUAAUACCCAUCAGGAAAGACAUCACUCACAGAAGAAGCACCGGCUAACUCCGUGCCAGCAGCCGCGGUAAUACGGAGGGUGCGAGCGUUAAUCGGAAUUACUGGGCGUAAAGCGCGCGUAGGUGGCUUGAUAAGCCGGUUGUGAAAGCCCCGGGCUCAACCUGGGAACGGCAUCCGGAACUGUCAAGCUAGAGUGCAGGAGAGGAAGGUAGAAUUCCCGGUGUAGCGGUGAAAUGCGUAGAGAUCGGGAGGAAUACCAGUGGCGAAGGCGGCCUUCUGGACUGACACUGACACUGAGGUGCGAAAGCGUGGGUAGCAAACAGGAUUAGAUACCCUAGUAGUC